AUUUAUAUAAUAAACAUGGUGAAACGUAUUUUUUUUAUUUCAGUAGAAACUAGAAUUGCCUAGAAAAUGUCUAAAAAAGGACCUCCCUCUACAUCACUUCACAAGGUGAUAAUGGUCGGAAGUGGUGGUGUAGGGAAAUCAGCAUUAACUCUUCAGUUCAUGUAUGACGAGUUCGUGGAGGAUUACGAGCCCACAAAGGCCGAUUCCUACAGGAAGAAGGUCGUCUUAGACGGAGAAGAGGUACAGAUAGAUAUUCUGGACACAGCAGGCCAGGAAGAUUACGCUGCGAUUAGAGACAAUUAUUUCAGGAGUGGGGAGGGAUUUCUCUGUGUGUUUAGUAUAACAGAGGAGGAUUCAUUUCAAUCCACUCAGGAAUUUCGAGAACAAAUCCUGCGAGUCAAACAAGAUUCCAACAUUCCUUUCAUUCUCGUCGGAAACAAGGCCGACUUGACUAACAGUCGUCACGUACAGCUGAGUACGGCUAAGGGAAAAGCAGAUGAAUGGCAGGUUCCUUACGUUGAAACAUCGGCCAAGACGAGAGAGAACGUCGACAAAGUGUUCUACGAUCUUAUGCGAGAAAUCAGAAGUAGAAAAGUAUCCGAUGAAUCCCCGCAGCCAGGCAAGGUUGGGAAAAAGAAGAAGAAAUGCACAAUCCUCUAAACUCAUCAUCCAAACUGUCAAACAGCUGAAUUCUUUAUAAUUGCCCCUUUUUAUUCGAAAAAUAUUAAGGACGAUUUUUUCUAAUACUCCUGAUCCUUGUUAUCUAUGUACAUAUAUAAUAAACCAUAUCUGAACCAAGGUUUAUAGUAAGGUUAAAUACCCUGGAUGUGCUCCAAUGUACUUUAAAUGUCAUGUUUCUAGCAUUGGAAACUAAAAAUCCUUAUAUGACUUUAACUGAAAAUUGGCGGAAGCUUAAGUGACAACGUUGCUGGCGAGAGGGAAGAAGGAUUCUCUACACUUUUGAGUUGUAAAAAACGGAGAAUGUCCUUCCCUUUCUCUCACCAGCAACGUUGUAUUUUGAAUGCCUAUUGUAAUAGAGACGACAUUUUUAGUACAUUGGAGCGAACCCAUAGUAUCUAACCUUACUAUAAAACCUUGAUCUAAACUGUAGAUUGUCUAAAAAGACACUGUACGUCAUUCCUCAUUAUUUUAAAGGAACUCUAAGCGUAAUUUUGAUUGACAUUACAAAAAUGGCAAUGCCCGAUUUACAACCGUAUCCUUGAAAAUUUAAUCUAAUCAAACAUAUGGAAGAUACUGUCGUUU
rnacentral:misc_RNA from 1 species